UUCAUAAAAAGUAACCCCACUGAUUGCCUAGACCUUUACAGUCAUUGGCCUACCUAGGUACUAGUCAAAUCAAGUCAAGUGGACUUUAUGGUCAUGCCAUCCAUACGAGACAUUGCUUCUCCAGGACCAUAGUGCAACAAAAGACACACAGGGGGCCUGCAUGUACACAAUUACAGGGGUAAAGUGCAGAUAGGUACAUGAGUGCAAACACAAACCACAAAUAGUGCACAUAACACAACAGGAGGGCAGACACACAGUAUAUAAAUGAAUAUGGUGCAUGGAAUGAUGUAUGUGGACUAUCUGUAUAUAACAAUAUUGAAUAUAAAAGGAAAGUGUUUGGCUCUGAUAGUCUAUUUUUAACAAGAGACCACCCACUGAAGCAGAGUGCAGCAGCAGUGGAAGAAUUUUAUGGCAUUGCACAGUGACAGCCGGCUAGCUAAGAACCAUCUGUCAAAACGAAUGCCACGAGGAUAACGCUUCUAGCUAACCAUUGUAAAAUCAGGGGCACUCCUGAAAUAUUUUGGAGCACCUUCUGCCACUGUCACUACCCAAGAUGAGGAGCUGUCCCCCUCCUCAGCCACAUAUGUGUCUCCACAAAUGUCUGAUCCUGAGGAUGAAGACCCAAUUGAGGCCACUUCAGAAAUGCCUGGAGCUGAACCCCCUGCCUACGGACCCUGCAAACUGGCCUUCCGAUAUCACUGACAGCAUUCGAAUACAGCUGAUUUGCAAAGGACCAAGUAAGGUAGCACCUGACUUUCUUUGUCCUAGAAAUGAGGGUGAUGGAAGAAGUUGCCACCACCAGUAUUUUAAGAAAACACUAGUUAGCGGUGAAAGGAUGACUAAAAGCUGGCUAGUAUAUUCUGAGAAAAACAACAGCCUUUUUUGCUUCCGCUGCAAGCUGUUUUCAAUAGUCCUGAACACCAUAGCUCCAUGAAAGCAUGGAAAGAACUGGUAGUGAGGAUUAAAAAAGGUGAAACAAUUAACAAACAAGAGAUGGCACUUCUGCAGGCUGAGAAAAUAAGAUGGAGAGGGGCGCUGACUUGUCUCUCUGCUAUCAUUCAGUCUCUCGCUAUCAGAAAUUUUGUACUAAGGGGACACACAGGAACAUUGUUUUCUCCAUCAAAUAGCAAUUUUCUAAAAGAAGUUGAACUCCGUAGUCGUAGUCUAUUAGUUUAUUCGUUGUAGUUUAUUAACAUAAACUGGAGCCUGUCUAUACAUUAACAACAAAGACACGGUUCCAUUACAGAGAUGGUGAACUCAGGAGGAGUGAAGGAAAACAGCAGCAGUGCUUGUAAUCGCUACUGAACCUUCACUGGUAAAGAGCUGGCGAGAGUCCUUAAUCAAAUCAGCUGUUCAACAAGCUGAAAGGUGAAGAAAAGCGAUGUUUGCAGCUGCUCCCAUACCUGCCAUUAUAUUGUCUUCCAUAGCAGCAAAGCUACAGUAAAGCUAUACAAGUUAAAAUAGAAGCUGCUUGUAUGCAGAUAAACUGUUAGCUUAGUUUGACGCGAUAUUUAAAUUUGGCAACUUGCAGCGGGCUGACAGCAGCCGUCACACUUUGUUGCAGUGAUACCUGCAGCAUGCAGGGGUGAGUCUAAAGGGGAGCAUGGGGUGUACUCAACUAGAUCCAUUUCAAGGCUUUAGUAAUAUUAUUCUGCAGAUUUAGAUUAAUAUGAAUAAUAUUACAUAAUUAUAAUAAUGUAAAUGAUAUAUUAUAAAUAUAACAUAAAAAUUACCCCCCCUCCCCCAACAGCCUUGGGCCAGUGAACCUCUGACACAAUGAAUUAUCCAACCGCCACAUAUGCUCCUUUAAAGGCUUACACACACACUCUCACUCACAUUCACUUACACACACGAACAUGAGCACAGCAUUCCUAUCUCAUCCAGGAGAUACAAUCCUGUCAGAACAUUUUUUUAUGCCUCCUAUAAAUGUACAAGAACAUAAAGGCCAUUUUAAUUUAUGCCUUAGUUUAAGAUAUAUGUAUACCUUUUUCCAGUAAUUUUAUUUUACAUAAUUUUCAUUUAUUUAAGAAAGUGUUUUCUUUUAAAAAGCAAAACAAAUAUGUACAUAAAUGCACUAUAAGGGUUUAGUUCUUUUGUCAGUUGUUGUAUGGAGUUCAGUCAUUAAAAAUGUUCCUAAAACCGAAACCCAUGAGUUAUUCAUUUUGUUUAUCUGGUGAAAUUCAGUAUGGUUCUGACAACAGUUUAAAAUGUACAAUUGAAAACAAUAAAAUGUACAAUCCUUAA